ensembl:snRNA U6 U6 spliceosomal RNA
GUGCUUGCUUUGGCAACAACAUAAACUAAAGUUGGAAUGAUAUAGGGAUUAGCAUAGCCCCUGCACAAGGAUGAUGCACAAAUUUGUGAAGUGUUCCAUAUUUUU